AUGCACGCUGGCGGCGUGCCUCAUCCCUGCAAGUCGCGCGAACAGACGAGGAGCUUGCUCCUCUGACGUUAGCGGCGGACGGGUGAGUAACACGUGGAUAACCUACCUAUAAGACUGGGAUAACUUCGGGAAACCGGAGCUAAUACCGGAUAAUAUAUCGAACCGCAUGGUUCAAUAGUGAAAGACGGUUUUGCUGUCACUUAUAGAUGGAUCCGCGCCGCAUUAGCUAGUUGGUAAGGUAACGGCUUACCAAGGCAACGAUGCGUAGCCGACCUGAGAGGGUGAUCGGCCACACUGGAACUGAGACACGGUCCAGACUCCUACGGGAGGCAGCAGUAGGGAAUCUUCCGCAAUGGGCGAAAGCCUGACGGAGCAACGCCGCGUGAGUGAUGAAGGUCUUCGGAUCGUAAAACUCUGUUAUUAGGGAAGAGCAAAUGUGUAAGUAACUAUGCACGUCUUGACGGUACCUAAUCAGAAAGCCACGGCUAACUACGUG
rnacentral:rRNA from 1 species